rnacentral:sRNA from 1 species
UUUUGUAGCAGAUAGUGAAAGUACAAGGUCAACAGGACUGUUAGAUUCAGGAAUGUUCGUGAAUAUUCAUCCAUCUGGAGUAAAAACUGAGUCAACUGUGCUGAUGACAUCAGAUAAGGCUGAAUCAUGUCAGGGAGAUUUAAGUACAUUGGCCAGUGUGGUUACAUCAUUAGCGAAUCUUGGAAAAACUAAAGAUCUUUCUCAAAAUAGUAAUGAAAUGUCUAUGAUUGAAAGCUUAAGCAAUGAUGAUACCUCUUUGUGUGAAUUUCAAGAAAUGCAGACCAACGGUGAUGUUUCAAGGCAAGAAAACAGCAUAUCACUGGUGAAAGCUUACUGGAAUGAACUUUUUACUCUUGGUCUUGCCCAGUGCUGGCAAGUGAUGAAUGUAGCAACUAUAUUAGCAACAUUUGUCAAUUGUCUUCACAAUAGUCUUCAACAAGAUAAAAUGUCAACAGAAAGAAGAAAAUUAUUGAUGGAGCACAUCUUCAAACUACAGGAGUUUUGUAACAGCAUGGUUAAACUCUGCAUUGAUGGAUACGAAUAUGCCUACCUGAAGGCAAUAGUACUCUUCAGUCCAGUUUACAGUUUUCACAGAUGGUAAAAUGACGGUAAGC